rnacentral:ncRNA from 1 species
GGGCAUACGGAUUAAAAGGGAAUCCGGUGAGAAUCCGGUACAGUCCCGCUGCUGUGAAACUCCUUUAACAUUCUAAUACUACUUUCGCCACUGGCCUAGUAAGCCGGGAAGGCAUUAGAAUGGGAGUCAGUCAGAAGACCUGCCAUUCAUUUAAG